rnacentral:rRNA from 1 species
UAGAGUUUGAUCCUGGCUCAAGAUGAACUUUUGCGGCGUGCUUAACACAUGCAAGUCAAACGAAACACCUUAUCUGAUUCUCUUCGGAACUGAAGAUUUGGUGAUUGAGUGGCGGACGGGUGAUUAACGCGUGGGUAACCUACCCUGUACGGGGGGAUAACAGUCAGAAAUGACUGCUAAUACCGCAUAAGACCACAGCGCCGCAUGGGGCAGGGGUAAAACCUCCGGUGGUACAGGAUGGACCCGCGUCUGAUUAGCUGGUUGGUGAGGUAACGGCUCACCAAGGCGACGAUCAGUAGCCGGCUUGAGAGAGUGAACGGCCACAUUGGGACUGAGACACGGCCCAAACUCCUACGGGAGGCAGCAGUGGGGAGUAUUGCACAAUGGGGAAACCCUGAUGCAGCGACGCCGCGUGAGCGAAGAAGUAUUUCGGUAUGUAAAGCUCUAUCAGCAGGGAAGAAGAAAUGACGGUACCUGACUAAGAAGCACCGGCUAAAUACGUGCCAGCAGCCGCGGUAAUACGUAUGGUGCAAGCGUUAUCCGGAUUUACUGGGUGUAAAGGGAGCGCAGGCGGAAGGCUAAGUCUGAUGUGAAAGCCCGGGGCUCAACCCCGGUACUGCAUUGGAAACUGGUCAUCUAGAGUGUCGGAGGGGUAAGUGGAAUUCCUAGUGUAGCGGUGAAAUGCGUAGAUAUUAGGAGGAACACCAGUGGCGAAGGCGGCUUACUGGACGAUAACUGACGCUGAGGCUCGAAAGCGUGGGGAGCAAACAGGAUUAGAUACCCUGGUAGUCCACGCCGUAAACGAU